rnacentral:rRNA from 1 species
AACGCUGGCGGCAUGCCUUACACAUGCAAGUCGAACGGCAGCACGGGGGCAACCCUGGUGGCGAGUGGCGAACGGGUGAGUAAUGCAUCGGAACGUGCCCAGUAGUGGGGGAUAGCCCGGCGAAAGCCGGAUUAAUACCGCAUACGUACUGAGGUAGAAAGCGGGGGACCGAAAGGCCUCGCGCUAUUGGAGCGGCCGAUGUCGGAUUAGCUUGUUGGUGGGGUAAUGGCCUACCAAGGCGACGAUCCGUAACUGGUCUGAGAGGACGACCAGUCACACUGGGACUGAGACACGGCCCAGACUCCUACGGGAGGCAGCAGUGGGGAAUUUUGGACAAUGGGCGCAAGCCUGAUCCAGCAAUGCCGCGUGUGUGAAGAAGGCCUUCGGGUUGUAAAGCACUUUUGUCCGGAAAGAAAUCCGUCUGGCUAAUACCCGGACGGGAUGACGGUACCGGAAGAAUAAGCACCGGCUAACUACGUGCCAGCAGCCGCGGUAAUACGUAGGGUGCGAGCGUUAAUCGGAAUUACUGGGCGUAAAGCGUGCGCAGGCGGCUUUGUAAGACAGAUGUGAAAUCCCCGGGCUCAACCUGGGAACUGCAUUUGUGACUGCAAGGCUAGAGUGCGUCAGAGGGAGGUGGAAUUCCGCGUGUAGCAGUGAAAUGCGUAGAGAUGCGGAGGAACACCGAUGGCGAAGGCAGCCUCCUGGGAUGACC